ACAACAGAGGAAAGAUUUGACUGAUUGCAACCUCUUUUAUGCUAAUUAAAAUCAGCAUAAAUAAAAAAUGCUAAAGGCAGUGUU
rfam:Seonamhaeicola sp. S2-3, complete genome.